AGUCUCAUGAACAUUUUUUGCUGUGUAUUAAAUUAUGUAUUUUUUAUAGCACAAGAGUAAAGCCUCUGAAAAGCUUCACUUACCUCCUAUUUUGGCAAAUUUAUACAACUAGACAGCAUCUAGCGGCCUUCUAUUAGGGUGGUGCGAGCUGUUACCUUACCAAUCCUAAUAAGGUAAUGAAUCAAAACGAUUGGCCUAAUGGAAAAAGUGUUCGAUUGGAUGUCCA
rnacentral:misc_RNA from 1 species